AGCAGCCGCGGUAAUUCCAGCUCCAAUAGCGUAUAUUAAAGUUGUUGCAGUUAAAAAGCUCGUAGUUGAAUUUCGGGGUCAGUAGGUUGGUCGUGCCACUGGUAUGCACUGGCUUUACUGAUUCCUCCUUCUUGAAGAACUGUAAUGCUAUUAAUUUAGUGUUGCAGGGAAACAGGACUGUUACUUUGAAAAAUUAGAGUGUUUAAAGCAGGCUAACGCCUGAAUACAUUAGCAUGGAAUAAUGAAAUAGGACGUUUGAUCCUAUUUUGUUGGUUUCUAGGAUUGACGUAAUGAUUAAUAGGGAUAGUUGGGGGCAUUAGUAUUCAAUUGUCAGAGGUGAAAAUUCUUGGAUUUAUUGAAGACUAACUACUGCGUAAAGCAUUUGCCAAGGAUGUUUUC
rnacentral:rRNA from 1 species